rnacentral:lncRNA from 1 species
CUGGGAGGGAUUGGGGGCAGGAGGAGAAGGGGACAACAGAGGAUGAGAUGGCUGGAUGGCAUCACUGACUCGAUGGACGUGAGUCUGAGUGAACUCUGGGAGUUGGUGAUGGACAGGGAGGCCUGGCGUGCUGCGAUUCAUAGGGUUGUAAAGAGUCGGACAUGACUGAGCGACUGAUCUGAUCUGAUCUAAUGAAGAUAGUGGUGACCUGUCUCAAAAGAACCCAGGCACAUGCUGCUACACUCCACGUCCCCAACCCUGCAGCAGGCCAUCACCGACCCACGCCUUUGCCGGAGACUCAAGGACACCCACAGGCAAGUCUCCUGUGGGUGACUGUUCCUUUCUCUUGGGUCCAGGUGCACAAGGUUCUGUUGUGCCCUCCAAGAGUCUAUUUCCCUGUCCCAUGUAAGUUCUGGCAGCUCUAUAGUGGGGUUAAUGGCGACCUCCUCCUAGAGGGUUUAUGCCAUACCCACACCCAGAGCCCCUGUCCCUGCAGCAGACCACUGCCAACCUGUACUUCCACCAGAGACACUCAAACACAGUUCUGUCUCUAUCUCUGUCUCUGUCUCUGUCUCCAUCUCUGUGUGGUCCCUGGGUCCUGGUGCACACAAGGUUUGUUUGAGCCCUCUGAGCGUCUCUGGUGGAACCGAGGUUUGAUUCUAAAUACGAAUUCGCCCCUCCUACCGUCUUUCUGGUGCUUCUCCUUUGCCCUUGAACGUGGAGUAGCUCCUCACAGCUGCUCCAGUGCCUAUCGUCUUACUGGGGCUUUUCUGACCUUGGACGUGGGGUAUCUCUUCUCUGCCGUUUGCCCCUCCAGAGCCACACAGCCACCGCUCGCCACUCCAGCACUGCCUAAUUCCCACAAUAACCUUAUAAAUCAUUGCUGUUAUAAUUAUUCCCAUUCAUAGACAAAGAAAGAGAAGCAUCGGGAAUUUCAGUGACUCAUCAGAGGCUAUUUGUCUCUAAGUCAUAGAAGCAGAAUCCAAACAUGGGCUUUGAGUUUCCACCCAGG